rnacentral:rRNA from 1 species
ACUACGGGCGGCAGCAGUGGGGAAUAUUGCACAAUGGGCGCAAGCCUGAUGCAGCCAUGCCGCGUGUGUGAAGAAGGCCUUCGGGUUGUAAAGCACUUUUAGCGGGGAGGAAGGCGUUAAGGUUAAUAACCUUGUCGAUUGACGUUACCCGCAGAAGAAGCACCGGCUAACUCCGUGCCAGCAGCCGCGGUAAUACGGAGGGUGCAAGCGUUAAUCGGAAUUACUGGGCGUAAAGCGCACGCAGGCGGUCUGUCAAGUCGGAUGUGAAAUCCCCGGGCUCAACCUGGGAACUGCAUUCGAAACUGGCAGGCUAGAGUCUUGUAGAGGGGGGUAGAAUUCCAGGUGUAGCGGUGAAAUGCGUAGAGAUCUGGAGGAAUACCGGUGGCGAAGGCGGCCCCCUGGACAAAGACUGACGCUCAGGUGCGAAAGCGUGGGGAGCAAACAGGAUUAGAUACCCGGGUAGUC